rnacentral:lncRNA from 1 species
CCUUUUCCCUUUCUGCCCUCUGCCAUGUGAGGUCACAGUGUUCCUCCCUCCUGAGGAUGCAGUGUUCAUGAAAGCAAACACUGGGCCCUCACCAGGCAACAAACCUGCUGGUGCCUUCAUCUUGGACUUCCCAGCCUUCGGAACUAUGGAGCCCGCACUCUCCAGUUCAUCACCACCCCAGCAUCCCUACUCUUGCAUCUAACAGUUUCCGCUAUUUUGCACCACCUGCCUGGCCCUUAUGGGCAACUCAAGGAAGAAAGGAAAGAAGAGAUAGAGGAAAAAUGGAUUCAACAAAUGAAAGUAAGCUCCACUGCGCUUUGUCCAUUGCAAGUUGAGAAGUGAGGCCCCAGCUGUCACAUACAGUGAGUGAAGAAGCUGAGCUUCCCUCAACGCCUGGGCCUGUAUGAAUUUUUUUUUUUUUUUUUUUUUUGGAGACGGAGUCUCACUUUGUUGCCCAGGCUGGAGUGCAAUGGCACUAUCUCAGGCCACUGCAACCUCUGCCUCCCAGGUUCAAGCGAUUCUUCUGCCUCAGCCUCCUGAGUAGCUGGGAUUACAGAAGUGCACCAUUACAGCUUGCUAAUUUUUGUAUUUUUAGUAGAGAAGGGUUUUCACCAUGUUGGCCAGGUUGGUCUCGAACUCUUGGCCUCAGGUGAUCCGCCCGCACAGCCUCCCAAAGUGUUGGGAUUACAGGCGUGAGCCACUGCGCCCGGCCUUAGGUAAGUUCCUUUUUUUUUUUUUUUGAGACGGAGUUUCACUCUGUUGCCCAGGCUGGGGUGCAAUGGCAUGAUCUCGGCUCACCGCAACCUCUGCCUCCUGGGUUCAAGCAAUUCUCCUGCCUCAGCCUCCUGAGGAGCUGGGAUUACAGGCAUGCACCAUCAUGCCCGGCUAAUUUUGUAUUUUUAGUAGAGACGGGGUUUCUCCAUGUUGAGGCUGGUCUCAAACUCCUGACCUCAGGUGAUUCACCCGCCUCGGCCUCCCAAACUGCUGGGAUUAUAGGCAUAAGCCACCGCGCCCGGCCUUAGGCUCCAUCACAAGAGGGAGCCCCAUUGCUAGUCCCCAUCCUCAAAGCCUCUGCGUGAUGUUGUCUACUGUUACUCUUCACUACCCUGUGGGAGCCAAAGCCCUGGACAUAAGAACAGAAGGCAAUGGUGGCUGAGAGGAAGAACUGACACCUUUGUGCUAUCAGAGCACUUUGCAGAGGAGCUGUUAGUGGCCCUGUAGGAGUCUGCUGGCCAUACAUCUGGGUGUCAAAUCAAGAGAGCAUGAGAAGUUGGACAGGAAAGGUCCAAGGCAAAAUGGUUACUAAAGGCCAUCCCUGAUCCUGACCCUAAAAGAAGAAAAGGCCCUUUGCUCUUGGCAUGCUUUUGCAGGAGUGUCUCAGUCUGUUUGGGCUGCUAUAACAUUGACUGGGUGAUCUGCCUGCCUGGCCUCCCAAAGUGCUGGGGUUACAGGUGUGAGCCGCUGCACCAGGCCUUGAGGUCAGGAGUUCGAGACCAGCCUGGCCAACAUGGUGAAACCUGUCUUUACUAAAAAUACAGAAAUUAGCCAGGCAUGGAGGCGCAUGCCUGUAAUCCCAGCUACUGGGGAGGCUGAGGCAGGAGAAUCGCUUGAACCCAGAAGGUGGAGGUUGCGGUGAGCCCAGAUAGUGCCAUUGCACUCUAGCCUGGCCAACAAGAGUGAAACUCUGUCUCAAAAAAUAAAUAAACAAACAAACAAACAACAACGAUGUGUUUCUUCAUGGUUCUGGAGGCUGGGAAGUCUUUGAUCAAGACGCCAGCAGAUGUGGUGUCUAUGGAGAGCCUGUGUUCUGGUUAGUGAGCAAUACCUUCUCUCCGUGUUCUCACGUGGUAGAAGGGGAGAGGCAGCCCUCUGGGGCCUCUUUCAUGAGGGCACUAAUUCCAUUCAUGAGGGCUCCCCUCUCAUGACCUAAUCACUUCCCAAUGGGCCCACCUGCUAAUACCAUCCAUCGCCUUGAGGAUUAGGUUUUUAAUAUAUGAAUUCUGGGGGACAAAAACAUUUUGAUCAUAGCCAGAAGGUAAAUCGGUGUUGCUCUAAACUAAGGAAACAGAGAGGACUCUGGGAAAUGCUCCUCCCUCCCUGGGGCUCCUAAGCUUCUCAAAUAUUUUCAUCAUUGCCAUAUAUCUCUCCUCAACCACGCUACAGCCCUGGAUUAGAACAUAGCAUAGGCCACGACUUUCAAUUUGCUUAUAAUCUGGUGUAGAGAUUCAUUCAUUCACUUAAUAUACAUGCAGCACCUACAAUGUGCCAUAUAUAUAUGCCAGAAAGGCAGAAUAUUUGCCAAACAAAAGGUGCAACUACUACAUGCAAUGAGAUUUGGGAAGCUGUCUCUGAGGGCUGGAUAGCCUGGGAAGGCUUUAUCAAAAACUCGUGAUUUGAAGUGGGACUUGUAAAAUGGGUGGGAUUUAGACUGGAGGAGAAGGAGGAGGUAAUGCUGGAAAUACAGAGGUGUGAGUAGGAGACAUGAGGGAAUUCAAACUGGAAAGGGAGGUUCCAGGCCAAGCGUGGUGGCUCACGCCUGUAAUCCCAGCACUUUGGGAGGCCGAGGCGGGCAGAUCACUUGAGGUCAGGAGUUCAAGACCAGCCUCGCCAACAUGGUGAAACACUGUCUCUACUAAAAAUACAAAAAUUAGCCGGGCAUGGUUGCAGGCACCUGUAAUCCCAGCUACUCGGGAGGCUGAGGCAGGAGAAUCACUUGAACUGGGGAGGUGGAGGUUGCAGUGAGCCAAGAUCAUGCCACUGCACUCCAGCCUGGGUGACAGAGCAAGAUUCUGCCUCAAACAAACAAACAACAAACAACAACAACAAAAAUUUAUACUUUAAAAGAGUGAAUGCUGCUAUGUAAAUUCUAUCUCGAUUUUUUUAAAAAAAUUAGACUAUUUAUUUAUGAUCCCUGAAUGGAAUUAAACUAAAUGAUAAAAAUUUUCUUAAAAUCAAGGUAGGAGUCACUUUUUAACCAAAGAUUAUAUUCUUUUUUUUUCUCUUUUUUAACUUUUGUUUUAGGUUCAGGGGCUCAUUAUGCGGUUUUGUUAUAUAGGUAAACUCAUGUCACGAGAAUUUGGUGUACGAAUAUUUCAUUACCCAGGUACUAAGUGUAGUACCUGAUAGGUAUUUUUAAAAUAUGGAACACUUCAUGAAUUUGCAUGUCAUCCUUAUGCAGGGGACAUGCUAAUCUUCUCUGCAUCAUUCCAAUUUUAGUAUAUGUGCUGCUGAAACUAGCACCAAAAGUUAUAUUCUACAGUGUAGGUCAAAUGAAAAUUGCAUCUGAUCUAUGAAUAUUACUCUGGAAAAAUCCCUUGAAUUGUCCAGGGUAUAGUAAUAGUCAGGAUUAAUAUAUUCUUUACUGUAUCUUAAUAAACGCAGUGCAGCCAGUUUUUCCUCCAGCGUUGGAGUCCAUCACUGUUGCUGUGGAUCGGCAACAAAUGAAGUCAUUGGUUUGCAUUUCAGGCCUCUACUGUAUGAAAAAUACAGGUUGUGUGAACAUAGUUGACUUGUGAGAAAUUAAAGACAUAGAUAAUCCAAUUUCCCUGAAUUCUGUUUUUUGAGACUGAGUCUUGCUCUGUUGCCCAGGCUGGAGUGCAGUGGUAUGAACUCCAUACACUGCAACCUCCACCUCCUGGGCUCAAGUGAUUCUCCUGCCUCAGCCUCUCGAGUAGCUGGGACUACAGGCAUGCGCCACCACGCCUGAUUUAUUUUUAUUUUUAUUAGAGACAGUGUUUCUCCAUGUUGGUCAGCCUGGUCUCGAACUCCUGACCUCAAAUGAUCCACCCGCCUCAGCCUACCAAAGUGCUGGGAUUACAGGCGUGAGCCACCGCACCCAGGCUUGAAUUCUUAAAUUCUAUUUCCUUCAUACUAUUUCAUCUAAUUCCUUUCCUCACUUGUAUUUAUCUUAUGAUUAAGUUAUCCUAUCUGGUCCUAGGGAACCUUAACAUUCUUUAGGGCGGCCGCGGGGGACAAAGGGCGGGCGGAUCCGCGGGGAGGGGGCGGGGCGCGGCCAGGCCAGGCCCGGGGUCUCCGCAUGCUGCAGCUGCUCCCGGGUGCCCCCGCCGCCGCCCUCGCCGCGGAGCCGCGCGGAGCGGAGCCGGCGAGCUAACCCGAGCCAGCCGGCGGGCGUCCCGGAGGCGGCGGCGCAGGGAGGAGCCCGACGCGCUCACGUGGCCCCGACGGCCGCCAUGGCGGACAGCUGCACCGCGAGGGGCGUGGCGUUGGCUGCCCCGGACCCCGGGCAGGGCAGUGGCGGCCCAGGACAACGCGUCUACUUUCAGAGCCCCCCUGGGCCGCAGGAGAGGGCCCGGGCGGCGCGGACGAUGAGGGCCCAGUGAGGCGCCAAGUGAAGGUCACCGUCAAGUAUGACCGCAAGGAGCUACGGAAGCGCCUUAACCUAGAGGAGUGGAUCCUGGAGCAGCUCACGCGCCUCUACGACUGCCAGGAAGAGGAGAUCCCAGAACUGGAAAUUGACGUGGAUGAGCUCCUGGACAUGGAGAGUGACGAUGCCCGUACUGCCAGGGUCAAGGAGCUGCUGGUUGACUUGUUACAAACCCACAGAGACCUUCAUCUCUGGCCUGCUGGACAAGAUCCGGGGCAUGCAGAAGCUGAGCACACCCCAGAAGAAGUGAGGGUCCCCGACCCAGGCGAACGGUGGCUCCCACAGGACAAUUGCUGCCCCUCGACCUCGUAGCAACAGCAAUACCGGGGGGCCCUGCGGCCAGGCCUGGUGCCAUGAGCCGGUCUCCUCUUGCCCCUGGCCCAGGGGUCUCUUCCCCUGCCCCCUCAGUCUUCCACUUUUGGGGUUUUUUAUUGUGAUUAAACUGAUGGGACUUUAAAAAAA